UCCCGCCCAGACAAAUCUUCGGCGCUGUGCGAUGAGGUGCCUUAUGGUGCCGUCAUGGCCGUGUCAGACGCCAUGGUGGUGUGUUGGGCGGAUUCUCCGCAUGCAUGGGAAGCAGAGCUAGACGAGUCGGCUGCAGCCCAAUCCUCCAUGCGGCACGUCAGGUCUUCCGCCCAGCCUGCCGAGUAGCGUUCCGCGACUCUGCGCUCGUUCGCCGCCUGGCGGAGCAUACGAGGCGGUGGGGCUUCCGUCAGGCUGCCGCCUUCCAACUGGCCAGCGGGAGCUUUGCCGGCCAUUUCCUGCCGUGCCACGUGAGGGCCCUGCUCCUCGACUCGGCCGGCAACUUGAUUCCGUCUCUCUCUCCUCUCAGGGGUCGGCCCGGGCUUCGGAGGUCGGCUGGUGGGAAGCAGACUGCGGCUGUUGUGGCGUCAGCACGCAGUGGCGGUGCGGCGGCGGCGUCGGCAGCGUAACAGCCAUUGCAAUGAGGUACUGGCACCGCACGCUCUGUUGAAAUGCAGAACGUUAUAAUGGUGCAGUGCGGGUCAAUGUAACAAGCAUUUCACGCUUUGCCAUAUUUUUGACGAGUUCCUGACGUAUAGUCAUUAGGUCCUAGGUCCACAGCUGAAACAUAAGUGUUGUACGUGAAUAUGCCCAUAACAGGUUAGCGGACAAAUAUAAUGCGCAGUAAAUUUAUGCACGCUGUUCUGCUGCCACUUUGAAAAGUAGCGAUUUUCGACCAUAAGCGGCGCUGAAAUCGGAAUUGUUGAUCAAGGCAAUUGGCCUGCGACCAUAGGACGACCGUAUGACAAGGCCGUCAUAUAAUGAAAAAGUCGCAACGCCCGAAAUCUAAAAUAAUCAAUUGUAGCGUAUUCUACUGUUCAGCUGGAUUUUCUUGAGCUCACGACCUAUAUUAACUAACACUAGUCUAGGAGUCAUUAUACCAGCUUGAGGCCACCAAUUCAAGUAUAACGCCACGCAAGUCCCCGCCACACAGCCCGCCACGCAGACACCAGUCACCUCGUCCGGCCUUUAGGCCAGAAUGAUCGCGUGGUACUCGCCCGACCUGGACAGGAUCUAUUGUUCUGGAACCUUCGGCUGACCCCACUUCCGGACCACUUGACCUCCGCUGACCAGUCACGGCGCGCCCCAACACUCCACUUUGGCCAGA